rnacentral:lncRNA from 1 species
ACUUGUAGAAUCCUUCUAGAUUCAUGUAGAAGCUAAUCCAACCCUCUAUCAGUCUAGUAUAAGUUUUAAGGCAUGUGGUGGCUUGAUAUAGCAUGGAAGAGGAAAGAAACCAAUGCAUGCGCAUGAAAAUUUUGUUUCUCGUGUGAAGAGGUAUAAUAAGUGUCCUUCUGCUUUAAGGCAGAAGGAGGCACUUAUCAAAGGGGUCUUGGUGUGGAUUUAAAUUAAAUGUGGCUUCCCUACCACAUGGCAAAAUCUAGAAAACAUCUGAUUUAUGAUGGGGAGCCAAAUGCAUCUCUCCAGUGGCACACACGUGGGAAAGACUGCGAACCAACGUUUCAUCCCGAAGAGACCUUAUCUUAUAAGUCUCUUAAUUUUUCUAAUAUACCUUUUUGUGAGGU